rnacentral:rRNA from 1 species
GACGAACGCUGGCGGCGUGCCUAAUACAUGCAAGUAGAACGCUGAAGGAGGAGCUUGCUUCUCUGGAUGAGUUGCGAACGGGUGAGUAACGCGUAGGUAACCUGCCUGUUAGCGUGGGAUAACUAUUGGAAACGAUAGCUAAUACCGCAUAAGAGUAGAUGUUGCAUGACAUUUGCUGGAAAGUUGCAAUUGCAUCACUACCAGAUGGACCUGCGUUGUAUUAGGUAGUUGGUGAGGUAUCGGCUCACCAAGGCAACGAUACAGAGUAGACCUGAGAGGGGGAGCGGCCACACUGGGAGGGUGACAGGGCACAGACGGCCUCGGGAGGCAGCAGGAGGGAAUCGUGGGCAAGGGGCGGAAGUCUGUCCGAGAUACGCCGAGGGAGUGAAGAGGGUUGUCGGGUCGGAAAGGUCUGUUGUAAGAUAAGAAAGAGUGUGAGAGUGGAACGUUCACAGUGUGACGGUAACUUAUCAGAAAGGGACGGCUAACUACGUG